AUGAAGGAGGCGGAGGAGGUGCUUGCGCGCGGCAUGGUGGCCACCAUCACCGGCACCGGGCCCUCUGUCUCCCCGGCCGACGUGGAGGCAACCUUGCAUGCCAUGUUCGACCUGCAGCCUGGUGACUUCACUGUGCACAAGCACGCCCCGGAGGACUUUCUCAUUAUCUUCUCCUCGCGGCUGAUCAUGGACCGGAUGGCCGGCGAUCACCUCAUCAACGCCGCCCACUUUACCCUGCUGCUCCGCCCUUGGUGCAAGCUCGCCCACGCCACUGCUGGGAGCUUUGCAUACUCUGUGCAGCUAGAGCUCCGCGGCAUCCCGACGCAGGCAUGGCACCUGGCCACGGCCGAGCACAUCCUUGGGACUGGCUGUUGGGUUGAGCGGCUGCACCCGGAAACGCGUUCUCGCGCUGACCUUGCCACAUUCCGGCUCACCGGGCGCGUGCGGGACUUGGCCUCCAUUCGCCGGGAUGCCAUCCUGGAGAUUGUCGAGCACGUCCCCGGCAUCCGCCCUGACCUGCCUCCGACCGUCCGCACUCUGGAGUACCCCAUCUCCAUCCGGCUAGUGAGGUCCGCUGCCCUUCCCAUGGCGGUUGAUGACGCUGCCAAUGGCGAUGGCGAUGCUCGUGGCAGCGCGCACGACGCCGCUGGCCGUGGCCACGGACGCGGGCAGCAACGCCGCCGUGGCCGGAAAUGUCGCCGCCCAACCUCCGCCCCCGACGGACGCGCCGACGGCAUGGCGGUAGACUCCGCCGACUGGACUUGCUCCAGAGGCCACCUACGGGGCGAUGGCGCGGCGGUCGACCCUGGCUGGCUGGCGUCCCGCGCCGCCGCGGCUGCGCAUGCGCCUCCGCCCGUACCGUCCCGUGCCAGAUGCAUGGAUGCAUGGCCGCAUGCUGGGGCCCACCCCCCUAGUCGCAAAGCCAAAAGAGGAAAGCGGGGCGGAAAGAAAAAGCGUGCCAGGAUUCAGGCUGCGCUGGCCAAAGCUGCAGCUGCAGCGGAUCCCAGGCCGACCGGGUCGCCCACCCUAGCGGUGGUGCUUGCCACCCCGACAGCUGGCAACAGCCAAUUGGAGCCCGCCCACACUCCUCCUGCAGUCGGGCCCAUAACGACCCAGUCUUGCGCGUCGUCGUGCGCGCAGGGAGACAGCCAAACUGGCGAUGGACCCACCACAGCCAAUGCUUGCGCGCUUGGGGAUCCGGACAGCUUAUCCUCUACCAGUGAGGUCCCGGACUCGCUUCCUGUGGCUCCCGAGGCUGAUCCGCUGUCGGGGCAAAGCGAUGCUUUGCCCUCGUCAGCUCCUGUGGCCAAUGAAGUACCUGCUGCUUUGCAUGCCGGCCCUGCCACUUUGCAGGCCGACCCCACCACUGCGACGCGUGAUGCUGCGCCCUCGUCCACCCCCGUGGCCCUGGCUGAGCUGCAUGCCAGCCCCUCCUCGGCUACGCGGGAUGCGGGUCGUGUGGUUCCAUUCAUCGCGCCUUCGCCCCCUCCUGCCGCCGCCAUCGGGGACGCUGACUUGGGUUGCCCCUCCCCCGCGGCCCAGGAACCCAGACGCAUAUUGCAAAGGCCCACGCCUCCUGAUGCCCAUGCCAGCAGGCCCGCUUCCCCAAGCCCGUCAACGAUGCAAUCCACCCCUGUGUCCCAUGCGCCUCAGGUGCGCAGCGCAGGGCGUUUUGCCACGCCGCCAAUCACUCUGCGACGCACCAGACAGCCGGCCCCUGUCAGCUCCUGGACCCUUGGAGACUUCCUCGCAGCGGCAACCAAGCAGACUUGCUCUGCCCUCCCCAACCCUGCGCGCAGAGUGACUGCGGGGCGAUGGCGACCAGAGGCCCAAGGCCCGACUGCGGGGCGGGGCAGAGCGAUCGGAUCGAUCGGGAGACCUGGCGGGGGAACGGAAGACGGCGGCUCAACGCGAUCGGAUCGAUCGGGAGGGGUAGAGGAAGACCGCGGGGGGAGGCGGGCAGAUGAACACCCAGCGGCCGGCAGCAGGAGCGGAUCAAUGGCACGAGUUGCGGCGUGCAAAAAAUUGACCUAG
rnacentral:rRNA from 1 species